rnacentral:rRNA from 1 species
GAUGAACGCUGGCGGCGUGCCUAAUACAUGCAAGUCGAGCGAAGCGGGGACGGGUGAGUAACACGUGGAUAACCUCCUAUAAGACUGGGAUAACUUCGGGAAACCGGAGCUAAACCGGAAUAUUAUAGAUGCUUCCGGUCUGCAUUAGGUAGUUGGUAAGGUAACGGCUUACCAAGGCAACGAUGCAUAGCCGGCCGGAGAGGGUGAUCGGCCACACUGGAACUGAGACACGGUCCAGACUCCUACGGGAGGCAGCAGUAGGGAAUCUUCCACAAUGGGCGAAAGCCUGACGGAGCAACGCCGCGUGGGUGAUGAAGGUCUUCGGGUCGUAAAACUCUGUUAUUAGGGAAGCGGUACCUAAUCAGAAAGCCACGGCUAACUACGUGCCAGCAGCCGCGGUAAUAC